rfam:Streptococcus pyogenes M1 GAS, complete genome.
UGUUUUCAAGCUGUUUAAAACAAAAAUAUGCUGAAAAAUGUUGAAAUUAUUAAAAUGAUUUUCAUUUUUUGAUAGCUGUUGACAGAAGAAGAACCACCAUUUUCUGAAAAAUAGUGGUUUCGUUU